rnacentral:misc_RNA from 1 species
AAAUGUCCCACUCAAAUCGCAAAGGUAUCAACAUAUCUUCAUUUUGAUACAAUGGUCGUAACAUUAUAUGAAGAAUAAGAUGUAUAGUUGGAAUGUUUAUGAUGUAUUGGAUAUUAUGUGGAUGGUUCUUUUUUAAUUCUUUGAGUUAACUUUUUUAUAUUUUUAUUACCAUUGUAGAGAUGCUAGUUUUUUCUUUUCUUUUUAAUCAUUGUAGCUUUUUAGCGAACGGAUUCUUAAUUAUCUAUUUGUACUUGUUUUCUUUUCGGUUGUGCUUCUGUGACAUUGUUUCUGUUUUUGUCAUGUCAUGUAAUUCAUGCAUAGUUUAUGGGUAAAUUCCUAUUGAUAGCUGUAAUUCAUGCAUAGUUUAUGGGUAAAUUCCUAUUGAUAGC